rnacentral:pre_miRNA from 1 species
UUGUCUUGUCCUAAGUCAAACUUGUUCAACUUUGACCAAGUUUAUAGAAAAAUAUAACAAUAACUAUACUACCAAAACAUAUUCCAUGGUGGAUUCAACCAAACAAAUUUGGUAUUAUAAAUGUUAUAUUUUUCUAUAAACUUGGUCAAAGUGAACAAGUUUGACUUCGGACAAACCAAA